AAAUGGCUGCAUUUCUAUACUAUUAAGUAAGUAAAAUAGCUAAAACAAAAUCUGUCUUAAGUCACAUUACUUAUUCUACUGGAUCUUACGGAGCCUGUUCAUGUACGAUAUGAUCGGGUCUGAUCAUAGAUCAUAGAAAAGAUUCUCUUCAAACAAACCAGCCUAUCCCAUGUAUAGGGCUUUUACGGGGUGGUUGGAACAAAGACACAUUUGGUUGUGAAUUCCAAUGUGGCAGAUAAAGGCAUAUAUUUAUCUGCAUGGCCCAAUCAAUAGUUCAAGAGAUCGGAAAAG